UCUUGCUAGGGUGGGGCGGGGCCUAGAGCCGCGGCCAAUGGCAGGUGGUUUUGUUGGCGGCCACGGCGGCGCAGCCCCGGAGCGAGCGAAGGCAUCGGCGCCACUGCCGCAGGAGGCGCGAGGGGAUACAAGCAUUCAGAUGGCAGAUAACAGUUUUUCAGAUGGAGUUCCUGCAGAGUCUGUGGAGGCUGCUAACAAUGCAGAUAGCGCAGAAAAGCUCACCGAUCAGGUGAUGCAGAAUCCACAAGUUCUGGCAGCUUUACAGGAACGACUUGACAAUGUCUCUCACACGCCUUCCAGCUACAUAGAAACUUUACCCAAAGCCGUCAAAAGGAGAAUUAAUGCCCUGAAGCAGCUUCAGGUGCGGUGCGCACACAUCGAGGCCAAGUUCUACGAAGAAGUGCACGACCUGGAGAGGAAGUAUGCAGCGCUCUACCAGCCUCUGUUUGACAAGAGAAGAGAGUUCAUCACUGGGGAUGUGGAGCCGACAGACGCGGAGUCAGAGUGGCACAGUGAGAAUGAAGAGGAGGACAAGCUGGCGGGAGAUGUGAAGAACAAAGUCGUUAUAGCUGAGAAAGAAGCAGCAACGGAGGAGGUGGAUCCCAAGGGCAUCCCUGAGUUCUGGUUCACCAUCUUCAGAAAUGUGGAUAUGCUCAGUGAGCUGGUGCAGGAAUAUGAUGAGCCGAUUUUGAAACACCUGCAGGAUAUUAAAGUGAAAUUCUCAGACCCUGGACAGCCUAUGUCUUUUGUGCUAGAGUUCCACUUUGAACCCAACGACUACUUCAGCAAUCCUGUCCUGACAAAAACCUACAAGAUGAAGUCAGAGCCAGACAAAGCCGACCCGUUUUCUUUUGAAGGCCCUGAAAUUGUGGAUUGUGAUGGGUGUACAAUUGACUGGAAAAAAGGGAAAAACGUGACCGUCAAAACCAUCAAGAAAAAGCAGAAGCACAAGGGCCGGGGCACAGUUCGCACCAUCACGAAGCAAGUGCCCAACGAGUCCUUCUUCAACUUCUUCAGCCCCCUGAAAGCCUCUGGAGAUGGAGAGUCACUGGAUGAAGAUUCUGAGUUCACAUUGGCGUCUGAUUUUGAAAUUGGACACUUCUUCCGUGAGCGGAUAGUGCCGCGGGCUGUGCUCUACUUCACCGGGGAGGCCAUAGAGGAUGAUGACAAUUUUGAAGAGGGUGAGGAAGGCGAAGAGGAGGAAUUGGAAGGUGAUGAGGAGGGAGAAGACGAGGAUGGUACCGAAGUUAACCCUGAGGGGAGCCUCGGUCAGGCUGUGGCACACUGAUACCUAAGCUGCCUAGUGCAGCCCUGGCUGCCCUGUGUGUUUGAGGUGUAAUUUUUGUCUGUUAAUCAUUCAUGCGUUUCUAGAAGGAAGCCAGCCAGCCGGCGGAGUGCAAGCAGCAGUGAGACCAGCGCUGGGGAGCCCUGCGGCAGCUGUCGGGACCCCGCGCUGCAGCGCGGACCUUCCUGCCACAGCAGAGUUCUGACAGUGCUGUGGCAUCUAACCGUUUCCAAGUGCAUGAUUUCACUUCACCCAUCCCUUCCCUCCUUAUUUUGCUUAACUUGUACAGUGGCGACCGGACUGCGAUUCAGAGUAGGAGAUUUAGCUCCAGCAGCUCUUCGGCCUCGGUGCCUGUAGCCCUGGACUUUGCUGGCCCUGCCUUUGCGAGGCCCUGAAGACCACGUGGGGUGGGCUGGGGUCGUGCCCGGACGGGCAAAGCCUGGCCAUGCUGCUGUAGUGUCCACGGCUGCUUCUGUUCUGCGGGCCUGCCGCUCCCGAUCGAAGAAACCCCAGUCUCUAGCCACUGAACCUGCGUGCGAAGCUGCUCCAGCUGUCGUCCUGGUCAUCUCCAAAGAGCUAGUAGAGGGGCCGCGCUGUCCUUAGAGCGCCUUUUUCUUGCGUUUUGGUUUUUAGGGGUGGGUGGGUUGUGGCACACGCCUCUGAGACCAGAGCUGUGGGCUUGGUCCUUGUAUUUAUCUUUUGUGCUUGGAGGACUUUGAACCAGACUGACCUCCUCACCUUCUGUGAGACCAUGUGGUGACGUGGUGCAGUGAGGCCUCUGUGGAAGACACCCUGCUUCCUGCCACUGUCCUGAGACCUGCAUACCAGGUGUCCUGGGUCCUUUCGGAGGGUGUGGGGCUGUGGCUGGAUCGCUGGUCCGAGGGGCACGGCUUUCCAGCUUGUGUGCACACCAGGUCCAGGGCCCUGGCUUUGUUGGGCACUUGGUGACUUGGCACUGGGUUCAGAGUGUGUGGUUGUGUUCUCUGGCAGCCAGGGACAGCCAUGUCCACAUGACCAGGCAUGUAGAGCGUGCUCAGCCUUACCUGAUAACACAUUUGUAACUGAAUACGGUGUUUUCAAUUUGUACAGAAUAGUUAGAAGAUUCUAUUAAAGUUGUGAAACAUGAAA